GUACUACUUCCUCCGUUUCGAAUUACUUAUAGCAGGUAUGGAUGUAUCUAGAUGUAUUUUAAUUCUAGAUACAUCCAUUUCUGUGACGAGUAAUUUGGAACAGAGGGAGUAGACG
rnacentral:pre_miRNA from 1 species